CUCUACACUAUAUUACACACGCCAGCAGAUGUGGGAGGUGGUGAUCAACGUGACCCGUCAGCAGGUGGAGGACUUCCACGGCCCCGCGGACUACUGAUUACUGUGUGUGGCCUAGAGCCACCUGAGGACCUCCAAGAGCUGGCAAGGACACCAUCCGCGUCGCCCAACAUGGACAAACCAAAUCUGACAGGGUGCCCAUCAUCAGCUGCUGUGACGGGCCUUCCAUGGUGUUGCUGUGGUUAUUGCAAGGACAAACAAAAACUGUUUUGUUUGGUUUAUACAAACCAAAACAAUAUGUAAAUAAACUACACAAUUUGUACUGCUAAAUCCUGAAAUUGUAAGUAGUUAUUAAGUAAUGCCCGUGUGUGUUUGUAUUAAGCA